rnacentral:lncRNA from 10 species
GUCUGUUUCUCCCUUGGUCUGGCUUAUUUGCAGAAACCAGUAAAACAUUUCAUGCAUCUCUCUUGGGCAUAGACCUAGACUCCACGGCUCUGGAAGGGUAAAGGGGCAGACACUGGUUCAUUUUGCAAUUCACAAAGAAUAGCUGGAGGCCUUCUGACAUUUGCUCGGGGUAAGGGUUGAAAGAGUGGUUUGGUGUUCCGAUUUUAAGCUGUGCCAUUGGCUAAGUGUAACUUGGAGUAGGCAAAUGGGGAAAAUUAACUACAGCAAUAGUCACGUUAGGAAUGCAGGCAAGGUCUACCUCUGAAAUGGUUCCUAGCGCUAGUGGGACUCCCUAUCUGAAAACCUGCGUUAAAUACAUUCUUUCUUUUUGGGGGAAUAUGUCUGAAUUCUUAAAAAUGGGUCAGAACUUAGUCACUGACUUGGUGUUUCAUCUUCAGCAAUUCCUUUGACUACUCAAUGCCUCAAUGUCCUUCUUUAUUACCGAGAGAAGUGAUUUUGCUUCUGUUUCAUACCAAAAAGAGUUUUAAACAUCUUUCGCUUUGGUCAGUCCUAUCACAUUGCUGCUGAUAGUGGAGGUAAAGACCAGACUCAGAUGAAUGUAAGAAUGUGAGAACAAUGAAUGCAUUUAUCAUGCACAAUGUUAGUAUAAGGUGCUGUACAAUGUUAGAAUGUGUUCUUAGUACUCCCUGUAGACUGAGUGGUUAUGAAGUCCCGCCGUGGUGUUCCAAAUUCUUCAGCUAGUUCCACUAACUACACUGGGCUACUGUUAUUUUGACCUCUCAUUUGCAUAUCUUCAAUUUCUCUAAAUACUCCUUUAACCCUUCCUUAUCAAUAGUUUAUUGACUGCAUCCUCCCAAUCAUUCUUACCUCUUAUCUUUAUUUUUCUCAUUUAAGCUAAUUUUUUAAAAGCAGUUUAAAAGCUCAGCUAAUUUAGUCAUUUCCCUUGCAACACCCUACUCCUUCAUUAAUGGACCUAGUUUCUCUUUUUCCACACUUUUCCCCCGGCACACACACACACACACACACACACACACACACACACAAAAGCAAACAUGUUUAUAAAAACACACCUUCUUCCCCUUAGUUACUUUGGCUGGCAUUAAAUCAUUCCGCCUUUUUUUUUUUUCUCUCCUGCCCCCAUAUUUUUCCUAAACACGUUAACUUGGCCUUGGUGUUCUUUCUCAUUCUCCUCCCCCUGUGUCUCCAUUUCUUGAACAACUUCAGGAGAGUGUUGCUCUUUUGAUUUUUUUCCCCACCCUAGCCCAGCUGAAAGCUCAGGGAACACUUCUUGCUUGCUAUUUUUUAUCCUGUUUUCAUGGGACCUGGAGUCUCAGCCCUGCAAUUAUAGCCUCUUUCAUGUUAUCUUUCUCCCAAGGCAGCAGCUCACAUCCUGGCAAGUGACACAAUGGCAGUGUGGGUCUUGACUUAGCUUUCAUACCUUUUGUUUCAGAAUGCAGGAUUUCCUUAUGGUUUGUUUGGGCUUUUAAAAAAGCUUAUUUACUGAUCCUGAGAGGUGCCAGAUUUACAACCCGGAAGAAUAAAGGCCAAGUUUCUAUGUGCCUGGAAAUACUCCAUCAUGUCCAGGCCACUGUGAUGUUUUGGGCCAACCUAGAGGCUGAUUUGAUGGCUGUGGGUUCUACCCUGUUGUCGCCAAAGAGGGGCUGCAAAAACAGUCCAGACCACAGCUCACUGUGCCUCGUGUUGCAAAGAGAGGACAGGGUGAGGAAUUCAGACCAGGAUAAUGUCUGAAAAUGGGGAGAACGCUGAUUACAUUUUAAAACUACAGUCUUGUUUAUACUCUGGUAGUCAACACUAAUCAUUUAUUUGUUUAAAUUAAGCUCCCUCGCCUUAAUUAAAAUUUGCAAUGUGAUUUUUAAAAAUUUAUCCAACUGUGUUUAAACCUCACAUUCCUAGAUUUUGUACCAAGGCCCUAUCUUUAUACAAUAAUUUCAAUACAAUACAGCAUUUUCCCAAACAAAUACUUAAAUGGAGACAUGAGGUCUUUUUAGGAGAGAGGAUAUGUGACCUUCAUGGUGGAAUCACAGACGGGGCCUUAAGCAUGAGGACGUUGUAGGUUUACUCAGUAAUCUCCAACCAACGGUGUCUGUUUUUUUUCCUUGAGGCCAAGGGUAACGUCGUUGCCUGAGAAGCACUGGAGGAGAGGCAGGAACACAGAUUUGUCGAGAGCACUUACAUGUGUGCACACACCGUAACAAAGGGCAGGCUUGUUGUACGGCCACAUCACGGAGCCAGGGGACGUGCCUCGGGAAGAUGAAAUGUCAGUACUGUCUCCAUAGCACAGAGCCCAGCUCUAUACCAGAGCAGUUACGGAGCUCGGGUCUGGGUGAUUUCAGAGGCCCUGAUCCGAGUAACUUUCCUAAUAAGUCUGACGCUGUGUUCCAGAUUUGUACUUUAUGUUUACUCCUUGCAUCAAGACAGUGUCUCUGGAAGUUUCUUUUUAAAACUUUUUCUUCCCCUCAGAACGCUACAUCCUCUGCCUGAAGUGACGGUCUCAGCCAGCCCAUGAGCCUUGACAGCGCAUUGUUGGAGUUUGGAAUCAACUGCCGCCUUUUCAUGGAUAACUUCCUGAAUCUGCAGUUAAAAUUUCAUUUUUUUCUGGGUGCCCCGAGUAAAACACCCUCUGUUAAAGAUUUAUCACUUCCGCUGUAUUUCAGCUGCCUGUGGGCAUCCCUCAAUGCCCCAGUGCUGAACAGACUGUCACACCGAAGGUGCUCACGGGCCUGCCGGACGAUUGAAGUUGUACAACCUGCAGACAGAGGAGCUAAGUGUCCACACGGCCCUCCCUGCUCUUUCCAUUCUAUGUAGCUAUCUUGCUGGCACCAUUUACUCCUUUCUUUCUUUCUUUUUUUUUCUUUUCUUGAGACAGAGUCUCUAGCUGUCGCCAGGCUGGAGUGCAAUAAUGGCAUGAUCUCGGCUCACUGCAACCUCUGCCUCCCGGGUUCAAGUGAUUCUCCUGCCUCAGCCUCCCGAGUAGCUGGGAUUACAGGCAUGCGCUACCACGCCCAGCUAGUUUUUCUAUUUUUAGUAGAAACAGGGUUUCACUAUGUUCACCCGGAUGGUCUCGAUCUGUUGACCUCGUGACCCGCCUGCCUCAGCCUUCCAAAGUGCUGGGAUUACAGACGUGAGCCAUGGUGCCCAGCCACUCCUUUCUUACUCCUUUUUAGUCCAGUGAAAUCUAGCUAGCUUCUCCCUUACCCGUAAUUGUUUCAUUGUAACUUAUUCUUGCUGAGAUUACUAGAGCUAUAUUUAGACCUCCUA